rnacentral:tRNA from 1 species
GUGGGUAUAGCUCAGUUGGUAGAGCCCCGGAUUGUGAUUCCGGUCGUCGUGGGUUCGAGUCCCAUUACCCACCCCA